rnacentral:rRNA from 1 species
CAGCAGCCGCGGGAAUACGUAGGGUGCAAGCGUUAAUCGGAAUUACUGGGUGUAAAGCGUGCGCAGGCGGUUCGUUAAGACAGAUGUGAAAUCCCCGGGCUUAACCUGGGAACUGCGCUUGUGACUGCACAGCUAGAGUAUGGCAGAGGGGGGUGGAAUUCCACGUGUAGCAGUGAAAUGCGUAGAGAUGUGGAGGAACACCGAUGGCGAAGGCAGCCCCCUGGGCCAAUACUGACGCUCAUGCACGAAAGCGUGGGGAGCAAACAGGAUUAGAUACCCCAGUAGUCCCUGUCUCUUAUAC